AGCACGAAUAACUUCCUAAAAUUUGAACAAAAACUUCAAUCUGAUAGAAAGAUUAGAAAACAGUUUAGGAACUAGAUUACAAUAAUUGGCGGUAAAACAUGGAAUAUUUUAAAAGCUCUUUUGGAUGAUGCUUUGCUAUGCAAGAAAUUAUCAUGGACUAGACAAAAAGGAUCAAUAUCUAUUAAAGAUUGUGAAUUUUCCAGUAUUAUAGCAGAUAAUGUAUCGACUACGGACCAAUGUACCCUACAGGCGGUUUGUAAAAUUAUUCAAGAAUGGUUGCGACGCGCAGG